GUCGCGAAGGUUGAGUGGUCAAAGUGAUGGAUUCAGAACCCGCUGGGGUCUCUUCGCGCAGAUCCAGAUCCUGCUCGUGACG
rnacentral:tRNA from 1 species